rnacentral:tRNA from 1 species
GGUGAGAUGGCCGAGCGGUCUAAGGCGCUGUGUUCAGGUUGGAUCUUCAACUACAACGAUUUCGCAGUCUCGUAAGAGGCCUGGGUUCGAAUCCCAGUCUCAUCA